CGGAUAGCUCCGUGUUGGCGUCUGACCCCCCGACCCGACGUCAGCACGGGGCUCUAAC
rfam:Mycobacterium rhodesiae NBB3, complete genome.